rnacentral:rRNA from 1 species
GAUGAACGCUGGCGGUGUGCCUUAGGCAUGCAAGUCGAACGGUAACAGAGAGAAGCUUGCUUCUCUGCUGACAAGUGGCGGACGGGUGAGUAACGCGUAGGUAUCUACCCUUAAGUGGGGAAUAGCCAUCCGAAAGGAUGGGUAAUACCGCAUAAUCUCUAUGGAGCAAAGCCUUCGGGCGCUUUUGGAGGGGCCUGCGUCCUAUCAGCUUGUUGGUGAGGUAAUAGCUCACCAAGGCUAUGACGGGUAGGGGGUGUGAGAGCACGAUCCCCCACAAGGUUACUGAGACACGGAACCUACACCUACGGGUGGCAGCAACCGGGAAUAUUGCGCAAUGGAGGAAACUCUGACGCAGCGACACCGCGUGUGGGAAGACGGCCUUCGGGUUGUAAACCACUGUGGCGAGGGAUGAAUUUUGACAGUACCUCGCUAGAAAGCACCUGCUAACUACG